AUGGGGAGCAGCACUACUAAGAAGUCCCACCCCUGUGAACUGUUUACCUCUUACAUAGAAGGAUUGGAAUCUCUGGGAGAGGAGGGAGCAUGUGAGGAUCUCCCAAAGGAUUCAGGACCCUCCCCUCUUCUUCCACAGGGAAUGUCAAUAGGCGUGGUCAUCUCAGGAGGGUCUCAAGUGCUUCAUCACAGCCAUUCUGAUUUAAGAUUACUGGGGAAUGACUCCAGGGCUUCAAGCAUGCACACCUCCAGCCAUCAACUCCUUUCAAUGCCACUUGAGUUCUUUGCCCAGGACUUCACCCUCUCUUCUAUCUCUCCAGUCGAUUCUUCUGCCAGCAUCCAAAAGACUUUCCUCAUUAGAAGACAAUCCUUGAACUCUAUGGAACAACUGUGUAUAGUCCAGGAGGAAAGUGGUGGAGAUGUAAUGGAUCCAGGGGGAUACCGAUCUUAGGUAUUUGGCUUAGAAAUUGAUUUGAAGGUGAGUUUUCCUUGUGUUCAGGACUGCUUAGCAGUGAGUGAGGAAGUUUCUUUCCUUCAUGCACACACGAAUUGCCUGUGACCUGACUUUGAACUCACUCUCCACUCUAUACUCUGAAAUCUAUGUCAGCAUUUUUGUUGUAAUUUUUCCCCUUUCCUGGAUAUACAGAGACUGUAUAUAUUUUUCUCAGGUACAGUGUGACAACUUGAUAUACAUAUGUAACAUACGGUGAUUAACUCAAGGUUGCUGGGGACUGGGGAGAUGACUCUGUUGGUAGUAAAAUGCUUGCUACACAGUGCAGGACCUGAGUUCAGAUCCCUGGUAGCCAUACAAAAAGCUAGAUGCUAUGGUGUGCGUUUUACUAGGAAGGUGGAAGCAGGAAGAUCCUGGGGUCAGCAGCCAGCUAGUCUGGCUGAAUGGGUAAGCUCCAAGUUCAGUAAGAGAUCUUGUCUCAAAAAUUAAGGUGAACGUUAAAUUCUGGUCUCCAGGCAUAUGGACAUGCAAAACACACACACACACACACACACACACACACACACACACAGAGAGAGAGAGAGAGAGAGAGAGAGAGAGAGAGAGAGAGAGAGAGAGAGAGAUCCCCUUCCUCCAUACACACACCAAUUCUAUCUCCUAAUACACUUACUAUUUCCUAGUGUUUGAAGCCUUUGAACUCUCACACCCAGCUUGGGGCAAGCAAAUUGCAUACAGUCCUUGAAUCUGUGAACUCUGAAAGGGUGCUCAAAUUUCCUUUUGAUUCUUGCAUGGGAUCCAUCCAUUUUCAUUCCCCUCCAGCUCUUUUGGUCUUAAUCCCUCACACACCUCUUGUCUUCACUCUUCACUCACAGUCCGGCCUGAAACUCAUUUUCUGUCAGGUCUCAAGAGAGUUCAGGAGAUUAGCUUUUGAUUCCUGUAACUGCUUCUGCUUCUCUUUUCACAGGCUGUUGAAGGACUGCCAGAGACAUCUGUGGCUCAGCUCCUGCAAUCUGCCGGACCUUAACUUGUGUUUUAUGUGCUAACCUUACAAGCUUCAUUCUGUUCUGAGUUCCUUACUUGCUAUCCAAGCGGAUUGUUUAGUUGGUAGGCAAAAUGCUCCCAAAUUAGCUUUCCUUGAAGAAGAGCAAGACCUCAUCUGGAGAGAUGGCUCAGUGGGUCAAAAGCACAUGCCACCAAGCUUGAGGACCUCAGUUUGAUUCCUGAGAUUCAUACUGUAGAAGGAGAGAAUGGAUUCCUCUGACCUCUACAUAUGUCCUGGUGUGUGUGUGUGUGUGUGUGUGUGUGUGUGUGUGUGUGUGUACAUGAACACGCAUGCAUGCUCUUGCAAGCAUAAAUAAAUGUUAAUAAAAACUAAAGAUUAGCAAAGGCCAUGAUUCUGUGAUUAAAUUUUGGUUGUCCUUUUGUAUUUUGUUUUUUGAUUGUUUCUUUGUUUUGAAAUAGGGUCUUGCUGUCUUGUCCAGACUGGUCUUGAAUUCAUGGCAAUCCUCCUACCUCAGCUUCCUUAUUGAUGGGAUUGCAAGUGUCACCAUGCCCAGAUCUAGUCUUUUUUUGGUUUGUUUUAGUGGAAUUAAUGUCAGUAGUUAAUACACAAGCUUGUUAUAAAUAAAAACUUAUUAACAGUAAGCUGUUGCAUGGAUAUCACAUUUAGUUUUGCUAGGAAGAUGGCUUGGUCAGUGCUUACCUUACAAGCAUGAGUUUGAUUCUCAGAAUGCAUGUGAAAAUACACACACACACACACACAGAGAGAGAGAGAGAGAGAGAGAGAGAGAGAGAGAGAGAGAGAGAGAUAUGAGGAUGAAGACAAAGAAUUAGAAGAAAGAGGAAGAGGAGAAGACAACACUGUAGGGAUUAUUUGCAUAGCGAUGUGGAUAUACUUCAUACUACUUACUUGUGUACUUUAGAAGGCUAUGUGUGAUGGAGUCAAGAGGCUAAGACAAGAUGCACUGGAGAGUGAGUUUGAGACUAUCAGGCAACUUAGUGAGACAAUGUCUCAAAAUUUAAAAAAUAAAAAGAUAGCUGGAGACAUGGCUCAGAGGCAGGGCACCUGCUUGGUGCAUCAAGGCUCUGGGUUUGAUCUCUAUGCCUGAAAAAGACGGAAGGAAGGAAAUCAAAGGUGUGGGGGGUAUAUUUUGUUUUAUAUGUAUUUUAAUUUUCAUGGACAAAACAAGCUAACAACUUGAUUUAAAUUUUAUAUUUUGUGGACAGGCCUUUCCUGGUGGCUGACUACUCCCAAGUAAAGUACAAGGACUCUGCAUUUAACCUUUCUGGUGCCCAUCUGAUACUUGUGUAAAAAGCCCAUCAUUGAAUCUAGAUGCAUAUAUUGUUUUAUGGAUGUUGAGAUAAAUAACAGUUUUCUUUUCCUUGUUAAAAACAGAAGAAUUCUUUCUGCCUGCCUGCAUCUUGACGUUUCAUCUUCAUUGACCUUCCAGUGCUCCCAGGUUACCUGUUCGGGCAGCUGCCUGGGAUCUGGCGGUGCCUUUGUGCUCUUGGCUUCAGGACUAUCAGGUUGCAGUGGGCUCCUUCCCCCACAUUCUCAGAAACACAGUUCACUGAAGAUGACUGACCAUGACAAAGAACAUUUAUGUCUUUGGAGCAAUGUCUUCUACUUCUGUUUUCUGCUAAUGUUUUAAAUGUGAGAAAAAAGAGCCGAGGUCAGGGCCCACAUGAUCUCAUCAACACAAAAGGGGUUUUUAGUAGAACUGUUCCAGAAACGUCGAGCUGAGGCACUGAGGAGAAAUGGUGGAGUUUAUCAAAGCAAGCUUGUGUUGUGGUGUCUGUUAGAGGGGGGAAAAAGCCUUCUUCAUACCUGCUGAGCACACGCCUGUCACCGCCUCCAGUUCACUGUGACUCUUACAGGUUAGCCAGGCAGGCAGGGCGACACAGGAGAGCUGCUUAAUUGUUAAUGCAUCUCAGGAGAGUUGGUGAUUAUUUCAAUAGCAAGAAUUUCUUUUACCACAGUUGGGAGGAUGAAACAAAAACAUCAGAAGCCUAACUGGAUCAUUUUGAAGUGCAUCUAUUUUUGUUUUUUGUUUGAGACUAAACUGCUUCUGGCAAAGUCAAUUCCUAUAGUGGUAACUGUCUUAAGUCAUGGGGUCCUAGAGGACACAUGCAUGGUCUCAGUGCUGCAAGGAGAAAACAAGAACAAAAGGUCCACAUUACACCUCCUUGGGACCACCUAGAUGAAUAAAGGCUUAACCUUCUUCACACAGAAAAAAACAAAACAAGUGCCAUCACCCUAGGUAUUUAUUGGGACUCCAGUGUCCCAACAGCAGCUUUGCAAUUGCAAGUUGCCAAGGUUGCUGCAUCUGGUAAUUAUUUACGUGCUCUUCAAAUUCUAUCCCCAAACAACAAACUAGCUAGCUAAGAUAGCUCAUGCCUUCAAUGCCAACCAAGAGCAGGAAGAUGGCUUAAAAUUCAAGGCAAUCCUGGUUACAUAGAAAGUUCCAGGCUACCAUAGGCCUUGGAGUGAGGCCUCUUUCAACAACAGACCACAAUUUCAUCUGUGUGAUUUCUCCACAGGAACCCAGCUUUACAGCUGAGCCAUGAAUCUGUCAAGUACCAAGACUAUCUCUUUCCUUGUGGAGGCGGAUCAUUGUUUUGUACCAAGCUGAUUUCUUUUGUUCCUAUUUGUUGCAUAUUUGUUUUUCUAUAGCUGUUCAUCUUCUUGAUUCAUUUUGGAUGUUCUGUUACUUAGAUGUGUUUGGCAACAUCUGAACCCCUAAAGUUACUUGGGUAAACUUUCAGGGUUUGGGGUUAGAUUUAGUUUGCGUUCUUUGAAAUUUUGUAUUUGUUUAUUAUUGCUUGAGAUUUUCAUACAUGCAUAUAAUGUGUUUUUGCCAACUCACUCCUCUCUAAUUCUUCCUCUGCCCUCCAUGUCGUUACUUUUACUUCCCAACUUUAUGUGCUUAAAAAAAAACCAAAAACCAAAAAAACACUGAGUGCACUUAGUACUGGCAGUGUGUGCAUGGACGUAGGGCCAUCUACUGGAAUAUGGGCAGCCUCUCGAGAGCUGGAAAAAAAAAAAAGACUCUCCCUCUCCUAUUAGCCAUCAGUUGCAACAUCUUCUCAGAUGGGGUGAAACUGUACCAUCCCCUGUACCAUCCAUGCUGGCAUUGUGUCAGGCCUGAUUGUGUCAGUUCCGGCUGUUAUAACAUGGCAGUGUGAGGUUAGAUGUUGGCAGGCGAGUCCAAACCAUGGCGGGUGAGGGACAAACACACCAUGAAGACAAAACUUAC
rnacentral:lncRNA from 1 species